UCUCUGAUUUUUAUUAAAAUAUCUCCGCUUUUCUUUUGAAGAUGAACGAAAGUCUUAGAUGGUUUGGAGCAUCUUAAAGCAGCUUCUGCAAGCGUGUAUGGCGUCUGGCUUUUGGAACCUCACUGUGACUUCAGAUAAGAACACAGAUUAAAUUGUAAGAAGGGUUGCUAAUAUGAUAACAUACAGUACAUUACUGAAACUGCUGAGGCUGGGAAGGUUUUUGACUAUAUUACCGACCAGGUACAUUGUUCUCAGAAAGAAUUCAUCAUUCUUAAAAAGAAAACAAAUCAUCAAUCA